AUUAGCCAAGGUGACUGCC
rnacentral:miRNA from 1 species